AGCAGCCGCGGUAAUUCCAGCUCCAAUAGCGUAUAUUAAAGUUGUUGCAGUUAAAAAGCUCGUAGUUGAAUUUCGGGAUCAGCAGGUCGGUCGUGCCAAUGGUAUGCACUGGCCUUGCUGAUUCCUCCCUCUUGAUGAGCCGUAAUGCCAUUAAUUUGGUGUUGCGGGGAAUCAGGACUGUUACUUUGAAAAAAUUAGAGUGUUUAAAGCAGGCAAGCGCUUGAAUACAUUAGCAUGGAAUAAUGAAAUAGGACGUUUGAUCCUAUUUUGUUGGUUUCUAGGAUUGACGUAAUGAUUAAUAGGGAUAGUUGGGGGCAUUAGUAUUCAAUUGUCAGAGGUGAAAUUCUUGGAUUUAUUGAAGACUAACUACUGCGAAAGCAUUUGCCAAGGAUGUUUUCAUUAAUCAAGAACGAAAGUUAGGGGAUCGAAGACGAUCAGAUACCGUCGUAGUCUUAACCAUAAACUAUGCCGACUAGGGAUCGNGAUGAUGUUAAUUUUUUAAUGACUCA
rnacentral:rRNA from 1 species